rnacentral:tRNA from 1 species
AGUUAAUAAGCUUUAAGCAUAUAUUUUGAAAAUAUAAGUUAGAAAUUAAUAAUUUUCUAUUAACUU